AGUUUCAUUUUCAUUAUUGAUUUCUCCUAUGUUUGAAGAUUAUUUGAACAACUUUUGAAUAAUGCGUCCCACAUUACAAGUAUCUGUUGUUAGUGUACAGAUGCGAUAUCUGGAAGAGCAGAUACAAGUCAUGGAGCCUGUCAUUCAUGAUAUAAAAGAUGCCAUUGAGAAAAGCAGGUCGUGGCUAGAAGAUAAGGAAGGAAAAACCUCCCAAAGCUACAGUGAUGUAACUCAACAACUAGACCAUGCUAAUUUAGCUCUAUUGAGUCGUUCCUCCGA